rnacentral:rRNA from 1 species
CCCUUAGAUGUUCUGGGCCGCACGCGCGCUACACUGAUGCAUUCAACGAGCCUAGCCUUGACCGAGAGGUCCGGGUAAUCUUUGAAACUGCAUCGUGAUGGGGCUAGAUUAUUGCAAUUAUUAAUCUUCAACGAGGAAUGCCUAGUAAGCGUGAUUCAUCAAAUCGCGUUGAUUACGUCCCUGCCCUUUGUACACACCGCCCGCCGCUCCUACCGAUUGAGUGUGUUGGUGAGGAGUUUGGAUUGGCCUCGGAAGGUGGUUCGCCACCGUCCGUAGCUGAGAAGUUCUCCAAACCGCCCCACUUAGAGGAAGGAGAAGUCGUAACA